CUGAGUCACCUCAUCCAAGACGACUUCCCCAACAAAACUUCUAAAUCUUUUAGAGUCAAAAAGACUAUAAAAACAGAAUCACAAGGCAGAGAGAAGCUUCUGAAUACCUUGUUCCUAGGGAGGGGACAUAAGGAUCCCUGGUAAACCCAGAAAGCAUCUGCUACACCUAGGCUAGAGUUCAGAGGAUCUUCCUUAUCUUGGUAAGUCUUCAGAAAGUGUCACAAUUGGAAUGCCAGGCUCGCUCUCAAUAAAAUUUCUGGAAAACCUGAAACCAGGUAGGUAUUAUGCUAGAAUUGCUCAAGGGCAGACUUUGUAAUGAUUUGAUUUACAAAGAAGUCCUCCUAUGCAGGGUUGGAAUGAAAAUAAAAGUAGGAGAUACAGGCAGGAAGAACUAAAAGAAGAUUUUUUAAAAUGGCAUUACAGAGGACCAGGAUAAAGACAGCAUAAAAGAAUGCCCAAGUCAAUGACUUCACUCAAGGUUCCUGGUUCUGAGACCAAGGACCAGGGAGGGAAAAGGCAGCUACCCUCAAGACUGCCCUUGAAGAGCAACUAAAAACUUCACCUGUGAGUAGAUGGUCGUUUCAAUCCCAGCAAGCGCUCCACCACUGAGCCACAACCCCAGCCCGUGGAGGUUCAAUCCAUGGUCAACUGACUACAUCGCUCUGGGAUCAAAAUGAGGCAGAACAUCAUGGUGGUAGAAGAUGUUGGAGUAACUCUGCUCCACUCAUAGCAUCCAGGAAGCAUAGACAGAGAAGAAGCCAGAGGGAAUAAAAUGUGAUUCUCAUGGUACAUAAGACAUACUUCCUCCAACGUUGACCCACCUGCCUACAGUUACCAUUCAAUCAAUUCAAAUGGGGGAGGGACUGAUGAGGUUACACCUGUCAUAAUCUUAUAAUUUCACCUUCUGCAUUAACACAGGAGCAUGUGGCAGGAACAGCUCACAUUCAAACUGUCACAAUCAAAUUAGAAGUUGCUGAUAUUCUAGGAAGGCAAGACCAACCAAUAACCAUUGCCUCUUCUCACUGUUUGACAUGGGGAACUUACUUCAGUUACUCUGUUAAACUAUUGCAAGACAAAGGGUUGUUUUUUUGGGUAAAUUGUUCAAUUUUGAUGAAGAAAUCUACCUGCACUAACAUUUUCAAGGUGUGCAUUAAACGUUAGCAGGACAUGUCUAGGUCUUAAGACAUUUGUAGCCAUAAUACUACAGUGUCCUAUUUUUUUUAAAUUUGUUAUAGAUGGCAACAGAAUGCAUUCAAUUCAUAUUACACAUAUAGAGCAUAAUUUUUCAUAUCUAGG